AGAUUGAACGCUGGCGGCAUGCCUUACACAUGCAAGUCGAACGGCAGCACGGGAGCAAUCCUGGUGGCGAGUGGCGAACGGGUGAGUAAUAUAUCGGAACGUGCCCAGUCGUGGGGGAUAACGGUAGAGAAAUUUACGCUAAUACCGCAUACGAUCCAAGGAUGAAAGCGGGGGACCUAAGGCCUCGCGCGACUGGGAGCGGCUGAUAUCAGAUUAGCUUGGUUGUGAGUAAAGCUACGACCAAGGCGACGAUCUGUAGCUGGUUUGAGAGGAUGAGUCAGUCACACGUGAACUGAGACGACGUCAGACUCACGGAGCAGCAGUGGGAAUAGUUAGGACUAAGUGGGCGAAAGUCCUAGA
rnacentral:rRNA from 1 species